rnacentral:rRNA from 1 species
GAUGAACGCUGGCGGCGUGCCUAAUACAUGCAAGUCGAGCGAACAGACGAGAGUGCUUGCACUCUCUGACGUUAGCGGCGGACGGGUGAGUCACACGUGGGUAACCUACCUAUAAGACUGGGAUAACUUCGGGAAACCGGAGCUAAUACCGGAUAAUAUUUAGCUUCGCAUGAAGCAAUAGUGAAAGACGGUUCUGCUGUCACUUAUAGAUGGACCCGCGGUGUAUUAGCUAGUUGGUGAGGUAACGGCUCACCAAGGCAACGAUACAUAGCCGACCUGAGAGGGUGAUCGGCCACACUGGGACUGAGACACGGCCCAGGCUCCUACGGGAGGCAGCAGUAGGGAAUCUGCCGCAAUGGACGAAAGUCUGACGGGGCAAUGCCGCGUGAGUGAAGAAGGUUUUCGGAUCGUAAAACUCUGUUGUAAGGGAAGAACAAGUACGUUAGUAACUGAACGUACCUUGACGGUACCUUACCAGAAAGCCACGGCUAACUACGUG